AGUGAACGCUGGCGGUAGGCCUAACACAUGCAAGUCGAACGGCAGCACAGUAAGAGCUUGCUCUUACCGGUGGCGAGUGGCGGGCGGGUGAGGAAUACAUCGGAAUCUACUUUUUCGUGGGGGAUAACGUAGGGAAACUUACUCUAAUACCGCAUCCGCCCUACCGUUGAAAGCAGGGGAUCUUUUCACCUUGCGCUGUUGAAUUCGCCGCUUCGGGAUUAGCUAGUUGGCGGGUUAAAGGCCAACCAAGGCGACGAUCCGUAGCUGGUCUGCGAGGAUGAUCAGCCACACUGGAGCUGGGACAGGGUCAAGACUCCUACGGGAGGCAGCAGUGGGGAAUAUGGGGCAAUGGGCGCAAGCAUGAUCCAGCCAGACCGAGUGGGUGAAGAAGGCCUUCGGGUUGUAAAGCCCGUUUGUUGGGAAAGAAAAGCAGCAGGUUAAUACCCCGCUGUUCUGACGGUACCCAAAGAAUAAGCACCGGCUAACUUCGUG
rnacentral:rRNA from 1 species